UACGAAGGGGGCUAGCGUUGCUCGGAAUUACUGGGCGUAAAGCGCACGUAGGCGGCUUGUUAAGUCAGGGGUGAAAUCCUGGAGCUCAACUCCAGAACUGCCUUUGAUACUGGCGAGCUUGAGUUCGGGAGAGGUGAGUGGAAUUGCGAGUGUAGAGGUGAAAUUCGUAGAUAUUCGCAAGAACACCAGUGGCGAAGGCGGCUCACUGGCCCGGAACUGACGCUGAGAUGCGAAAGCGUGGGGAGCAAACAGG
rnacentral:rRNA from 1 species